UUAAAUUUGUAAGGGCGUAUGGUGGAUGCCUUGGCAUUAGAAGCUGAUGAAGGACGUGACUAACUACGAUAUGCUUCGGGGAGAUGUACGUAAUCUUUGAUCCGGAGAUUUCCGAAUGGGGGAACCCACUAGUGGUAAUGCACUAGUAUCACAUAAUGAAUAUAUAGUUAUGUAGAAAGCAACCCAGUGAACUGAAACAUCUUAGUAACUGGAGGAACAGAAAGAAAAAUCGAUUUCCUUAGUAGUGGCGAGCGAAAUGGAAAGAGCCCAAACCAACUUUAGAGUUGGGGUUGUAGGACCUCUCUAUAAGAGUUACAAAUUCAUAACAUAGUUGAACUUUUCUGGAAAGUUAGACGAAACAAGGUGAUAGUCCUGUAAACGAAAUGUUAUGAACUCUUUGAGGUAUCCUGAGUACAACGAGACACGAGAAAUCUUGUUGGAAUCUGCGGGGACCAUCCCGUAAGGCUAAAUACUCUCUAAUGACCGAUAGUGAACAAGUACCGUGAGGGAAAGGUGAAAAGAACCCCGGGAGGGGAGUGAAAUAGAAACUGAAACCGUAUGCUUACAAAAAGUUCGAGCACAUUAAUGUGUGAGAGCGUGCCUUUUGCAGAAUGAACCGGCGAGUUAUUGUAUUAUGCAAGGUUAAGUCGAACAGAUGGAGCCGAAGCGAAAGCGAGUCUGAAUAGGGCGCUUAAGUAUGAUGCAAUAGACCCGAAACCGAGUGAUCUAGCCAUGAGCAGGUUGAAGUUGGGGUAAGACCCAAUGGAGGACCGAACCGAUAUGCCCGGAAACGCGUACGGAUGACUUGUGGUUAGCGGAGAAAUUCCAAACGAACUCGGAGAUAGCUGGUUCUCCCCGAAAUAGGUUUAGGCCUAGCCUUGAUUGAAUCUGCCCGGAGGUAGAGCACUGAAUGUGCGAUGGCGUCGUCUAGAUGUACUGAGUACAAUCAAACUCCGAAUGCUGGGUAGUACUAAUCAGGAGUCACUGUAUGGGUGAUAACGUCCAUACGGGAGAGGAAAAGAAUCCGGAUCGCCAGCUAAGGUCCCAAAAUUUGUGUUAAGUGGGAAAGGAUGUAGAGUUGUCAAAACAGCUAGGAGGUUGGCUUAGAAGCAGCCACCCUUUAAAGAGUGCGUAAUAGCUCACUAGUCGAGUGACACUGCGCCGAAGAUGUACCGGGGCUAAACACAAUACCGAAGCUGCGGACUUGCAUGUAAGUGCAAGUGGUAGGGGAGCGUUCUAAGGGCUGUGAAGGUAGACCGUAAGGACUGCUGGAGCGCUUAGAAGUGAGAAUGCCGGUGUGAGUAACGAAAAUUGGGUGAGAAUCCCAUUCACCGUUUGACUAAGGGUUCCUGGGUAAAGUUCGUCUUCCCAGGGUAAGUCAGGACCUAAGAUGAGGCUGAAAAGCGUAGUCGAUGGACAACAGGUUGAUAUUCCUGUACCACCUAUAUGACUGAAGGAGUGACGGAGAAAGCUAGUGAGAGCCAGUUAAUGGAUUCUGGUUUAAGUGCGUAGGCUAGUAUGUUGGCAAAUCCGCAAUACUAUAACAGCUGAAACAUGAUGGGGAAGAGAGUCUUCGGACAAUCGAACUUUCAUGAUGCUAUGCUUCCAAGAAAAGCUUCUAGGGUUAAUCGUAUAGGUGCCUGUACCGACAACCGACACAGGUGGUCAAGGAGAGUAUCCUAAGGUGAGCGAGAGAACUAUGGUUAAGGAACUCGGCAAAAUGACCCCGUAACUUCGGGAGAAGGGGUGGUCUAGCGAUAGACCCGCAGUGAAUAGGCCCAGGCAACUGUUUACCAAAAACACAGGUCUCUGCUAACACGUAAGUGGAUGUAUAGGGGCUGACGCCUGCCCAGUGCUGGAAGGUUAAAGAGAUUAGUUAGUAUGACGUAAGUCGAUAAUACGAAGCUUUGAACUGAAGCCCCAGUGAACGGCGGCCGUAACUAUAACGGUCCUAAGGUAGCGAAAUUCCUUGUCAGGUAAG
rnacentral:rRNA from 1 species